GCUGCAUGAUGGCGCAGUGGGUAGCACAUGUUGCUUUGCAGCAAGAAGGUCCUGGGUUCGACUCCCAGCCGGGGCU